AGUGAACGCUGGCGGUAGGCCUAACACAUGCAAGUCGAACGGCAGCACAGUAAGAGCUUGCUCUUACGGGUGGCGAGUGGCGGACGGGUGAGGAAUACAUCGGAAUCUACUUUUUCGUGGGGGAUAACGUAGGGAAACUUACGCUAAUACCGCAUACGACCUACGGGUGAAAGCAGGGGAUCUUCGGACCUUGCGCGAUUGAAUGAGCCGAUGUCGGAUUAGCUAGUUGGCGGGGUAAAGGCCCACCAAGGCGACGAUCCGUAGCUGGUCUGAGAGGAUGAUCAGCCACACUGGAACUGAGACACGGUCCAGACUCCUACGGGAGGCAGCAGUGGGGAAUAUUGGACAAUGGGGGCAAGCCUGAUCCAGCCAUGCCGCGUGGGUGAAGAAGGCCUUCGGGUUGUAAAGCCCUUUUGUUGGGAAAGAAAAGCAGCAGGUUAAUACCCCGCUGUUCUGACGGUACCCAAAGAAUAAGCACCGGCUAACUUCGUG
rnacentral:rRNA from 1 species